rnacentral:rRNA from 1 species
UCGAGGAUCUUUCGCAAUGGGCGCAAGCCUGACGAAGCGACGCUGCGUGAGCGAUGAAGGCCUUCGGGUCGUAAAGCUCUUUCGCGCAAGAACAAGGAAAAGAUGUGAAUAACAUUUUAACUUGAGGGUACUGCGUAAAGAAGCACCGGCUAACUCCGUGCCAGCAGCUGCGGUAAUACGGAGAGUGCAAGCAUUAAUCGGAAUUAUUGGGCGUAAAGGGCGCGUAGGCGGAAAGAUAAGUCAGAUGUGAAAUUCCGAAGCUCAACUUCGGAGCUGCAUUUGAAACUAUCUAUCUAGAGGGUUGACGGAGAAAACGGAAUUCCACGUGUAGCGGUGAAAUGCGUAGAUAUGUGGAAGAACACCUGUGGCGAAAGCGGUUUUCUAGUUUAUACCUGACGCUGAGGCGCGAGAGCAAGGGGAGCAAACAGG